GAAACAGAGGCUCAGAGAAAAGCAGCACGGUUCUCACAACUCCACAGUUUUGGUUCUGGCCCUGACCUGGGCACGGCUGUUGAUCACUAAUCUGUUUGGGGCAACUGUCCCCUUUCCCUUCCUUGGUCACUGGUUCUUCUGCUAAAGAUCCAAGAUCCCAGCUGCUUCUCAAAGCAAGGACACUUCUGAAAAACAUACCCUGAGUUUGAAUAGCCACACCUUGCUUGAGAAAGAAAGGCCAGAGUUACCCUGCUAAGAUGGGGAAACUCGGCUCGCGGAGAUGACGUGUGUGCCCCAGAGCACCCAGUGGGAGAGGCCAUGUGAGGACGCAGUGCGGAGGACGUCCCCUGCACGCCAGGAGGAGUCCUCACCAGAAGUCAAGCCCUGCUGGACUGGAACGUUGUCCUUCUCAGCCUCCAGAACUGGGAGAUAAUACAUUUCUG